rnacentral:lncRNA from 1 species
CACGUCCUCUCCCUCCCUCGGGAAAACCUAACCAACGUUCCUCCUCUCCUGUGAAAACCUAACCAACGUUCCUCUCCCUCUCUCCUGUGUAAAACCUAACCAACGUUCCUCUCUCUCCUGUGUAAAACCUAACCAACGUUCCUCUUCCUCUCCUCCUGUGUAAAACCAACCAACGUUCCUCUCUCUCCUGUGUAAAACCUAACCAACGUCCUUUCCUCCUUUGUAAAACCUAACCAACGUUCCUCUUCCUCUCUCUCCUGUGUAAAACCUAACCAACGUUCCUCUCUCUCCUGUGUAAAACCUAACCAACGUUCCUCUUCCUCUCUCUCCUGUGUAAAACCUAACCAACGUUCCUCUCCCUCCUGUGUAAAACCUAACCAACGUUCCCUCUCUCCUGUUAAAACCUAACAACGUUCCUCUCCCUCCUGUGUAAAACCUAACCAACGUUCCUCUCUUUCCUGUGUAAAACUAACCAACGUUCCUCUCCUCUCUCUCCGUGUAAAACCUAACCAACGUUCCUCUCCCUCCUGUGUAAAACCUAACCAACGUUCCUCUCUCUCCUGUGUAAACCUAACCAACGUCCCUCUCCCUCUGUGUAAAACCUAACCAACGUUCCUCUCUCUCCUGUGUAAAACUAACCACGUUCCUCUCUCUCCUGUGUAAAACCUAACCAACGUUCCUUCUCCCUCCUGUGAAAACCUAACCAACGUUCCUCUCUUCCUGUGUAAAACCUAACCAACGUUCCCUUUUCCUGCCUGUGUAAAACCUAACCAACGUUCCUCUCUUUCCGUGUAAAACCUAACCAACGUUCCUCUUCCCUCCUCCUGUGUAAACCAACCAACUUCCUCUUCCCUCUCUCCUGUAAAACCUAACCAACGUUCCUCUCCCUCCUGUGUAAAACCUAACCAACGUUCCUCUCCUCCUGUGUAAAAACCUAACCAACGUUCCUCUCCCUCCUGUGUAAAACCUAACCAACGUUCCUCUCUUCUCCGUGUAAAACCUAACCAACGUUCCUCUCUCUCUUGUUAAAACCUAACCACGUUCUCUCCCUCCUGUGUAAAACCUAACAACAUUCCUUCUCUCCUUUGUAAAACCUAACCAACGUUCCUCUUCCUCUCUCUCCUGUGUAAAACCUAACCAACGUUCCUCUCUCUCUGUGUAAAACCUAACACACGUUCCUCUUCCUCUCCUCCUGUGUAAAACCUAACCAACGUUCCUCCCUCCUGUUGUAAAACCUAACCAACGUUCCUCUCCUCCUGUGUAAAACUAACCAACGU